CAACAACAACUCCGGGCAGCAACGCUUCACAAGCUGUAGAGAACUCAGCUGCCGAUGCUCCUCUUGCAAAUCCACAGUCGUCACAAGGUAUUGUUGAUGUUGAGGCGACAGUAGACCAAGCUGUUGUUAGUAGGGGGUCUAAUAAGAGAAAGCUUACAUCUGAUGUGUGGGAAGAUUUCACAAAAGAAUUAAUUAAUGGGAAGAACAUAGCUAUAUGUAAUUGGUGUCAUCAUGAUUUUGCUGGAGAAUCAAACUCCGGUACAACGCACUUACGAAACCACCGCAGCACAUGUCCUGCUAGGCAUGCACCAAUGGGCCCUAAACAACAGAAAUUGAAGUUUUCGAAAGAUAUUGAUGGAAGUGUAAGUUUAGAGAAUACUAAUUUCAAUCAAGAAGUGGCUAGAAAAGAGCUUGCAUUGAUGAUAUGUGUGCAUGAGUACCCUUUGUCAAUUGUUGAUCACUCCCGCUUCCGUAAGUUCUGCAAUUGUUUGCAACCAUUGUUCAAGGUGGUGUCGAGAAAUACUAUUAGGCAGGAUAUUAUUAAUAUGCAUCAAGUUGAAAGAGAUAGCAUGGUGAAGUUCUUUGCAAAUUUUCAAAACCGUGUUGCCAUAACGACGGACUUGUGGACAGCUAACCAUCAAAAGAAAGGGUAUAUGGCUGUUACUGCGCAUUACAUUGAUGGUUCAUGGAAUCUAAAGAGCUUUCUUUUGAGGUUCAUGUAUGUCUCAUGUCCACAUAACGCUGAAGUGAUAUGCGAAGCUCUACAUGCAUGUCUUGUUGAAUGGCACCUUGAGAAGAAGAUAUCCACAGUAACGUUGGAUAAUUGCACAUCAAAUAAUAAAGCCAUGCAAAUUCUGCCAGAUAAGUUGGAUACUAAAUCUCUUAUGUUGGAGGGUAAAUAUUUGCAUAUGCGUUGUGCCGCACAUAUAUUAAAUCUGAUUGUAAAAGAUGGUUUGGAUGUCAUGGAGUUUGGGAUUGAGAGGGUAUGUGAUAGUGUUGCAUUUUGGUCGGCUACACCUAAAAGGCAUGAGAAAUUUGAAAAAAUGACAUGUCUCUGAUGAACACGGAAUAACAUCUAGGCUAUCUCUUGAUUGCAAAACUAGAUGGAAUUCAACCUACCUUAUGCUAACUUGUGCAUUGCAAUACAGAGAUGUUUUUGCAAGACUUAGUAUACGUGAAAAAAAGUUUAAUUGUCCAACUAAUGAAAAUUGGGAGUUUGCAACAGAGGUUUGUGAGAGGCUGAAAGUAUUCUUUGAUGUAACAGAGAUGUUGUCAGGCCAGAAAUAUGUUACAGCAAACAUCUUUUCCCUAAAAUCUGUGGUAUUCGUUUGGCAAUACGUAAAUGGCAUUCUAGUGACAAUCAACUUAUAAGAGCUAUGUCUGAUGAAAUGAAGGAUAAAUUUGAGAAGUAUUGGACAGAUGUUCAUGGUCUCAUGGCUGUUGCAACCGUCCUUGAUCCACGGUUUAAGCUUCACAUACUGCAGGCUUUAUUUCAGAACUUAUAUGGAUAUGAGCAUGCGGUCAAAGAAGUUGCAAAUAUAAAAGGCAACUAAUGUUAUCUUUAUUGGAUGAAUACCAACAACCCUCCGAUGUUGCGAUGCCAAAUAUUGAAAGUACUUCUACUGGUGGUGGUGGUGUGGAUGAAGUUUAUGAGAUAUUUGAUGAAUAUAUGAAUUCAAAGCCUGCUGCCUCCGCUUCCCAAGUGCGCACAGAGUUGGACUUGUACUUGGAAGAGGACCCUCUCCCUCGAACACAAGAGCUAGACAUCAUUGGUUGGUGGAAGUUUGGAGGUAUUAAGUACCCUACUUUGCAAAUGAUUGCUCAUGAUAUAUUACGUAUUCCUGUCACUUCAGUAGCAUCGGAGUGUGUCUUUAGUGCUAGCGGGAGAUCAAUUAGUGCACAUCGUAGUCGACUUGCACCAAAAAUAGCAGAAGCUCUUAUGUGUAUGCAAUCAUGGUCGAACAUGUUAGGUAAUUCAUUUCUACAUUCCCACUAUGUUCUGUGACUACAGUAAGAUAUGAAAUCUAAGUUCUUUAUAAUUUUUAAAUUGUAUUAGGUGAGAUUCAUGGUGAUCUCCUUGCUGUCCAGAAUGUUCUUGAAGAUGAACAAGAAGAAAUGGAUUCCAAUGAAUCCAUUGUCACUGAAGAAUGAUUGAAUGAGGCUACAAUAAUCCAAGAUUCAACUCAACCUUUCUACUAUCUUUUGCUAUAUAGCUUUAACGCUUUAGAUGUUGUGUUGGGAUCUUGUAAUAAAAAGCACUGUCUAUAUAUGUUCCGUGAGAUUGAAAUGAGACACCUAUUGUAUGGUGUGAUUGU